rnacentral:rRNA from 1 species
GACGGAGGAUGCAAGUGUUAUCCGGAAUCACUGGGCGUAAAGCGUCUGUAGGUGGUCAAAUAAGUCAACUGUUAAAUCUUGAGGCUCAACCUCAAAAUCGCAGUCGAAACUAUUAGACUAGAGUAUAGUAGGGGUAAAGGGAAUUUCCAGUGGAGCGGUGAAAUGCGUAGAGAUUGGAAAGAACACCGGUGGCGAAGGCGGGUCUCUGGGCCGAUACUGACGCUGAGGAGCGAAAGCGUGGGGAGCAAACAGG